rnacentral:rRNA from 1 species
ACCCGCAAGGGAACGGGUGCAUUUAUUAGAACAGAACCAACCGGUAGUGGCUUCGGCUGCUGCUGUUGAAUUCUGUGAUGACUCUGGAUAACUUUACUGAUCGCAGUCGGCCUUGUGUCGGCGACGGAUCUUUCAAAUGUCUGCCCUAUCAAUUUUCGAUGGUAGGUGACCUGCCUACCAUGGUGAUAACGGGUAACGGGGAAUCAGGGUUCGAUUCCGGAGAGGGAGCCUGAGAAACGGCUACCACUUCCAAGGAAGGCAGCAGGCGCGCAAAUUACCCAAUCCCGGCACGGGGAGGUAGUGACGAAAAAUACGGAUACGGGACUCUUUCGAGGCUCCGUAAUUCGAAUGAGUACAUUUUAAAUCCUUUAACGAGGAUCAACUGGAGGGCAAGUCUGGUGCCAGCAGCCGCGGUAACUCCAGCUCCAGAAGCGUAUAUUAAAGUUGUUGCAGUUAAAAAGCUCGUAGUUGGAUCUGGGUCGCAUGGCUACAUGCCGUUGCUCGCAUUCCUGGCCUAGUUCACACUGGGACGGGUUUGUGGGUCGGUGUCGUGGUUGUGCAGCCUUUCUGCCGUGUCUGUUUCGACAGGUGUUGGCAUGAUUGGUGGGUUCGUCCUGCUGAUCUGUCGACAUGCUCCCAGGUGCCCUUAACCGGGUGUCGGGGGCGGACGGCACGUUUACUUUGAACAAAUUUGAGUGCUCAAAGCAGGCCAAUGUGCCUGAAAAUUCUUGCAUGGAAUAAUGGAAUAGGACUUCGGUUCUAUUUUGUUGGUUUUCGGAUCCGAAGUAAUGGUUAAAAGGGACAGACGGGGGCAUUUGUAUGGCGGUGUUAGAGGUGAAAUUCUUGGAUCAUCGCCAGACAAACUACAGCGAAAGCAUUUGCCAAGGAUGUUUUCAUUGAUCUGGAGCGAAAGUCAGAGGUUCGAAGACGAUCAGAUACCGUCCUAGUUCUGACCAUAAACGAUGCCAACUGACGAUCCGUGGUGGCGCGAUUUUUGGCCCCACGGGCAGUCCCCGGGAAACCUUUAAGUCUUUGGGCUCCGGGGGAAGUAUGGUUGCAAAGCUGAAACUUAAAGGAAUUGACGGAAGGGCACCACCAGGAGUGGAGCCUGCGGCUUAAUUCGACUCAACACGGGAAAACUCACCCGGCCCGGACACUGUGAGGAUUGACAGAUUGAUAGCUCUUUCUUGAUUCGGUGGUUGGUGGUGCAUGGCCGUUCUUAGUUGGUGGAGCGAUUUGUCUGGUUAAUUCCGAUAACGAACGAGACUUUGGCCUGCUAAAUAGUACGCCUGUCCUCUGUAUCCGUGACAGGUGGCGGUUAUCUUUGCCUCUCUGGGGAGAUGGGCCGUUCGCCGGCGGGUGCGGUGCAGGUGUCUACUUCUUAGAGGGACAAGCGGCGUGCCAGUCGCACGAAAUUGAGCAAUAACAGGUCUGUGAUGCCCUUAGAUGUCCGGGGCCGCACGUGCGCUACAAUGACGGUUUCAACGAGUUUGGGAUCCUAGCUCGAAAGAGCUGGGUAAACUGAACCAUGACCGUCGUGACUGGGAUC